GUAGAAGGGCCUGGAGACAGGAAGGAAACGUAAGAAACUAGAAAGCCAAACUAUUUUUUUUUUUCUUUGACAGGAGAUAAAGGGCUUUAAAUGCCUUUACAGCAGGAGGAGCGCCGCCAGCCCCCGAAGGAAUGGUGGAGAAAAACCACUCCGAAGACCCACACCGCUGUUCUCCUCCCCAGACUCCAGCUAAAAGCCUGCUCCAAGCCUACGUGACGGCUCCACGCACGUGACUCCCACAGCCGGCUGCAGGAGCGUGGCUUGGCCUCACCUCCAGAACACCCAACCAAAGGCCUGGGCCAAAAACCACCCGUGCCAGCAGGUGCCUUCAGCCCCAGGCUGCACACCAGGCAGCAGCUGCAGGAGUGACAGCACCGCGCCACAAACCCACCUUGGAGGCGUCUAUGACAAAACUGUGUGCUACAUUCGCUAUGAAGCCAUCCACGUGGACUCCCAAGUCGCUGCAACACAAAGAGAGUUAAUUACAGGUGGGGCCUAAUGGCUGGGGAAACUUGUGUGACUCCUCCAAGUAUUCCCCGACGCAGGCAUGUUUCAAAAGCUUGGCUAGCUAUUAGAUUCUGCAAUUAGUCACGUCGGGGAAGUACUUAACGCACCGAGCAGGAUUAAAAAGCAAAGCCCUGAUGCCAGCAGUCAACUCACGAGAAACCUGAGCGAGACGCUUACAUUUUGACCAAGUCUCCGUCUUUGAGGAUGUAGUCUUGGUCGCUCUUCAAGGGGGAGAAGUGACAGACGCAGUUAUUUACUGAUAUACUCGUCGGGAAGGCA